UACGUAGGGGGCGAGCGUUGCCCGGAAUGAUUGGGCGUAAAGGGCGCGUAGGCGGCUUGGUAAGUCUGGAGUGAAAGUCCUGCUUUUAAGGUGGGAAUUGCUUUGGAUACUGUCGGGCUUGAGUGCAGGAGAGGUUAUCGGAAUUCCCGGUGUAGCGGUGAAAUGCGUAGAGAUCGGGAGGAACACCAGUGGCGAAGGCGACUUACUGGACUGUAACUGACGCUGAGGCGCGAAAGUGUGGGGAGCAAAC
rnacentral:rRNA from 1 species